rnacentral:misc_RNA from 1 species
AUUGGAAAAAGCUUUGAGUGCCAAGACAAUAUAUUCCCAUAUCCCCACAAACACAAACCAAAACACAGGUAUCGCACAUGAUAAAUAAGCAUAAUAAAUCCUACCCAAAACCGAUGAGACAGGGCCUCAGGGGAGUUGGAGCUAGUCGACAGCACCGCGGAUUCAUCAGGCAUCGGAUCCAAAAAAUUCGGAUCAUCGGCACAAGUCGCCUCUGACGACAACCUCAAGGCCAACGCCAACUGCAACUGGUAACUCUCCUCCGUCUGCUGCGCCCAGCUCUUCCCAGAUGAUCCAGUACCCGUCCCCGUAAUCACCGCCACAUCCACCGCUCUCACUCUCAUCAAAUUCCCAUCCUCAUGCAUGUUUCCAUAAGCCUCAAUCUCAUUCCCGCCAGCCGUUGACAGUGUCGGCGCAUAACA